CCUACGGGUGACAGCAGUGAGGAAUAUUGGUCAAUGGACGAAAGUCUGAACCAGCCAAGUAGCGUGAAGGAUGACUGCCCUCUGGGUUGUAAACUGCUUUUAGAUGGGAAUAAAAUGUUCCACGUGUGGGAUUUUGUAUGUACCAUAUGAGUAAGGAUCGGCUAACUCCGGGCCAGCAGCCGCGGUAAUACGGAGGAGCCGCGCGUUAUCCGGAUUUAUUGGGUUUAAAGGGAGCGUAGGGGGAUUGUUAAGUCAGUUGUGAAAGUUUGCGGCUCAACCGUGGAAUUGCAGUUGAAACUGGAAGUCUUGAGUACAGUCGAGGUGGGCGGAAUUCGUGGUGUAGCGGUGAAAUGCUUAGAUAUCACGAAGAACUCCGAUUGCGAAGGCAGCUGACUGGACUGCAACUGACGCUGAGGCUCGAAAGUGUGGGUAUCAAACAGGAUUAGAUACCCCAGUAGUC
rnacentral:rRNA from 1 species